rnacentral:rRNA from 1 species
CAGUCGAGCGAAUGGAUUGAGAGCUUGCUCUCAAGAAGUUAGCGGCGGACGGGUGAGUAACACGUGGGUAACCUGCCCAUAAGACUGGGAUAACUCCGGGAAACCGGGGCUAAUACCGGAUAACAUUUUGAACUGCAUGGUUCGAAAUUGAAAGGCGGCUUCGGCUGUCACUUAUGGAUGGACCCGCGUCGCAUUAGCUAGUUGGUGAGGUAACGGCUCACCAAGGCAACGAUGCGUAGCCGACCUGAGAGGGUGAUCGGCCACACUGGGACUGAGACACGGCCCAGACUCCUACGGGAGGCAGCAGUAGGGAAUCUUCCGCAAUGGACGAAAGUCUGACGGAGCAACGCCGCGUGAGUGAUGAAGGCUUUCGGGUCGUAAAACUCUGUUGUUAGGGAAGAACAAGUGCUAGUUGAAUAAGCUGGCACCUUGACGGUACCUAACCAGAAAGCCACGGCUAACUACGUGCCAGCAGCCGCGGUAAUACGUAGGUGGCAAGCGUUAUCCGGAAUUAUUGGGCGUAAAGCGCGCGCAGGUGGUUUCUUAAGUCUGAUGUGAAAGCCCACGGCUCAACCGUGGAGGGUCAUU